GUGAAGAUGCAGUGUACCCGCGGCAAGACGGAAAGACCCCGUGAACCUUUACUAUAGCUUGACACUGAACAUUGAGCCUUGAUGUGUAGGAUAGGUGGGAGGCUUUGAAGCGUGGACGCCAGUCUGCGUGGAGCCGACCUUGAAAUACCACCCUUUAAUGUUUGAUGUUCUAACGUGGACCCGUAAUCCGGGUUGCGGACAGUGUCUGGUGGGUAGUUUGACUGGGGCGGUCUCCUCC
rnacentral:rRNA from 1 species